UCGGCUAUCCUGUGAGAUGGGCCUGCGGCGCAUUAUCUGGUUGAUGGGGUUGGGCCUAGCAACGCUACGAUGCGUAGCCGACCUGAAAGGGUGACCGGGCGCACUGGGACUGAGACUCGGCCCCAGUCCUACGGGACGCAAACUAUGGAAGUUUCCUGUUUGGACUAUCGUCAGAUGGAGCACGCCCGUGAACAAUAAAGCCCUCCGAGUGUAAACUCUCUUGUAGGGACAACAAG
rnacentral:rRNA from 1 species